ACUUCAUAUUCGGGGUGGCCACAACACUGGUCUGGUUGCCGCUGAGAUCCCAGCACAGGAAAAGGGGCCUCCUCUACUCCCAGUGUCAUUGCCCAUGAGCCAUUUCUAUGGAGAGAAAAGUUUGAGAAUCCUCUUUGGAAAACCUGAAGUGUGGCACCAAGCAAAGGCCCAAGGACCUGGUGUCAUUAUCAGCGGGACCAGGCAGAGAGGAAGGCUCCCCAGCGGACCUGGCUGACCGUCCCCUGGAGGCCAGCCAAAGUGUGUGUGGCCACGGCUCAGAAUUUGCAUCAGUAACAGCACCAGCAGCCCCUGCGGUGGCAAGGGAGAUCAUUUAUCCAGUGCUUGGCCACGACAGGAAGAGAAGCUGCCAACACCAGAUGACCAACUCCUUUCCAGUUACAGACCACCCCGGUGAUGAGACCUCCAUAUGUUGUCUGAUGGCCGCAGUUCCUCGGCAAAUGGGUGGGGAAAAGGAAAAAGAGAAUAAUGAGAUGAUGAUGCAGAGCACUGGCAGAAUGCCUAGCAUAGAAGAAUCUGAGGAUUCGCCGUGCAUGCUUCCUGGAAUGGAAACCCACACUGCUGUUGUGAAGAAACCUGAUGAAACUCCAGCAACUUCUACAUCUGGCCUGCUGCUUAGUCCUGGGACCUGAGGUCAAAAUCAUAGAAAAGAGCCAUGUGAGAUGCGUUCCUUGGCCUCAUCUCUGUUCUUGAAUACUGUCAGCAACACUCCUCAAGUUUUUGCCCACAUGUUAACACUUUCCUCAGCAUGGAUAUGGAGGUGGGGGUGAGGAAUGUUCUAUUUUUCCUUCGAUGGUUAUGCCCUCACCCUACCAACUCAGUAAAAGGGGAGUAGUGGUCAGGGACCUUACUGAGAAUGUGUCCUAGCAUCUUUUCUCCCCCAGCACAGCCUCCAUAUGACCCAGCUGCCAUGAGAAGCUCGCUUCGCUUCUAAGGGAAUUACCCCUACCUUCCACUCCGUCCUCACCUUGCCCUGCCCAGAUUAGAGGCACAGAGGCAUGUACCACAGGCCUGAAAAACCGUCCAGCCAAAAAGCCUGACUGUCUUGAUGAGUCCUAUCAGGGUGUAGUUAUGGACAUGCCUAUUUCUGCUCUUCCCUCGGCAUUAGUUCUCUGCAAAGGGUGGCUCUUGCCCUCGGAUGGUCCAAAGAUAGUUUGGGGUGUGCAUGGAUGACCUUCACUCUUUAGAGGCGAACAGACAGUACUGCUCUUCUCCAACAGCCUCUGAAGGACACCACCUACUGCCUGUUUCUGAGAUAUUUGCUGCUCCAGAGUCUCCCACCUGCUUCUUCCUCCCUCUCAGUCCUCCCUUUUGUAGACUCUCAGCCUCCCUUCUCUUAAUACUCUUUGCACCCUUUCCUGGGUCUCUAUUUACCCUGCCUUCCCUUUCAGCAACCCCUUCCCAAACCACUGCCAACUUCUCCUUUCUUUCCAAUCCCUCCUCCCUUCCCAGCACUUUCACCUUCCAUUGAAUCCCUCAAGCCUCAUUCUGGCCCAACUCCUCCCCUCACCCUCUAUCCCUGCCCUUCUCAGAUCUGCCAAACACCUCAGGCCUGGCUGCCUCUGUCCUGUUCCCACCAAACCUCCUGACCAUGCUUCUGUGCUCCUUGGGACCUGGGCUCACAUUUUCAAUCUCUUCUCUCCUAUUAGUACAGUUCUGUCUAGAGCCAUGAUUCUUCUCUACCUUUCACAGCUGUCAUCUUUCCCACUUAUAUGCGUUUAUUUUUUUAAGUAUGAAAAUAAAAAAGUGCCACUUAAAUACAAUGAUUAAGUCAUAA